AUGGCUGCCUCCUCCAGCGCUGCACCGGCCAACCUCUCUGGUCAGGUCACCGAGAAGUUGACUCGCACCAACUACAUCCUUUGGCGGACUCAGGUCAUGCCGCAGCUUCGUGGUGCAGGCUUCUUCGGGUACGUCGACGGCUCCAUGCCUGGGCCAUCCAGACUCGUCGUCACCAAGGACAAGUACGGGAAGGAAGAAGCUUCACCGAACCCCCUUCUGAAGGAAAUAUGCCCUAGAGGCAAUAAUAAAGUUGUUAUUUAUAUUUCCUUAUAUCAUGAUAAAUGUUUAUUAUUCAUGCUAUAA
rnacentral:rRNA from 1 species